GACGAACGCUGGCGGCGUGCUUAACACAUGCAAGUCGAACGAAGAGCGAUGGAAGCUUGCUUCUAUCAAUCUUAGUGGCGAACGGGUGAGUAACGCGUAAUCAACCUGCCCUUCAGAGGGGGACAACAGUUGGAAACGACUGCUAAUACCGCAUACGAUCUAACCUCGGCAUCGAGGAAAGAUGAAAGGUGGCCUCUAUGUAUAAGCUAUCACUGAAGGAGGGGAUUGCGUCUGAUUAGCUAGUUGGAGGGGUAACGGCCCACCAAGGCGAUGAUCAGUAGCCGGUCUGAGAGGAUGAACGGCCACAUUGGGACUGAGACACGGCCCAGACUCCUACGGGAGGCAGCAGUGGGGAAUCUUCCGAAAUGGACGAAAGUCUGACGGAGCAACGCCGCGUGAGUGAUGACGGCCGUCGGGUUGUAAAGCUCUGUUAAUCGGGACGAAAGGCCUUCUUGCGAAUAGUGAGAAGGAUUGACGGUACCGGAAUAGAAAGCCACGGCUAACUACGUG
rnacentral:rRNA from 1 species